GUCUUCGUGGUGUAGUGGUCAGCACGCUGGGCGCGUAUUCCAGAGGUCCGUGGUUCGAGUCCCGUCGAGGGCA
rnacentral:tRNA from 1 species